AUGUAUAUGUGUCAAUUAAUCAAAUUUGAACUAUGUAAUACUAAAAUAUUAGGCAGUGGGCGAGUGUUUCGCUAGCAACGUACGGGCAGGGCCUGGCUAUUUGCGCUCGCUCCAGCUACUGCCUCCGCCACUCUGUCGCUACAGGCGCAGGGCGCAGGGCGCAGGGCGCGCUAAGAGAGGCUCUGGCAUAUCUGCUAUCACAUGCCACCGCCUCAACGGACCAACGUUGUUGGUUGUCUGAUUAGCUUGAGCGUGCCAGCGCAGGGGACUCUAUUCUGGCAACAACGACCUGGCCAGCCAGCCCGGAUGGCGUACAGCGCAGCGCAGUAGGACUGAUAUCCAGUAUGUAGGAAAAACUGACUGAUAAUACACGACAUCGUUGCGUCAUGAUUAGUUGAAAAAUUCGAAUGACUUACCAAGUCCACGUGCGGCAACGUCUGUAGCAACAAGGAUUGGUGCUUUGCCUGAUCUGAAAUCUACAAAUUACAGAUAUAAGUUUAUUGCGCGCACUCACACGUAUCGUUAAAUUUUUGCCGUAAAUAAAUUCUCCGCGAAGAGAUAUCUAGU